UCCUACGGGAGGCAGCAGUGGGGAAUAUUGGACAAUGGGGGGAACCCUGAUCCAGCCAUGCCGCGUGUGUGAAGAAGGCCUUAUGGUUGUAAAGCACUUUAAGCGAGGAGGAGGCUACUGAGACUAAUACUCUUGGAUAGUGGACGUUACUCGCAGAAUAAGCACCGGCUAACUCUGUGCCAGCAGCCGCGGUAAUA
rnacentral:rRNA from 1 species